rfam:Octopus bimaculoides Scaffold37554_contig_50, whole genome shotgun sequence.
GGCAGUUUAGCUUAAUGGUAAAGCACUUGACGAGUAAUCACAGGGAUGUGAGUUUGAGUCUCAUGACUGGCCA